rnacentral:rRNA from 1 species
UACGUAGGGUCCGAGCGUUGUCCGGAAUUAUUGGGCGUAAAGAGCUCGUAGGCGGUCUGUCGCGUCUGCUGUGAAAACUCGGGGCUUAACCCCGGGCCUGCAGUGGGUACGGGCAGACUAGAGUGCGGUAGGGGAGACUGGAAUUCCUGGUGUAGCGGUGAAAUGCGCAGAUAUCAGGAGGAACACCAAUUGCGAAGGCAGCUCGCUGGGACGUUACUGACGCUGAGACGCGAAAGCGUGGGGAGCAAACAGG